GGUAUCCUGACCGUGCGAAGGUAGCGUAAUCACUUGUCUUUUAAAUGAAGACCUGUAUGAAUGGCAUAACGAGGGUUUAACUGUCUCCUCCUCCCAGUCAAUGAAAUUGAUCUGCCCGUGCAGAAGCGGACAUAAAAACAUAAGACGAGAAGACCCUAUGGAGCUUUAGGCCAAGGACCAAUCAUGUUAAGAGACUACAAAAAUCAACAAGAACAAAAAAGUCAACAAACCAAAUGCAACCUCGUCCAAGUGCCUUCGGUUGGGGCGACCACGGGGAAAAAAGAAACCCCCACAUGGAAUGGGAAUUAUUCCCUUAAACCAAGAAAAACAAUUCUAAGCAACAGAACAUCUGACCAAUAUAUGACCCAGGAAAACACAUCCUGAUCAAUGAACCAAGUUACCCUAGGGAUAACAGCGCAAUCCUUUCCCAGAGCCCAUAUCGACGAAAGGGUUUACGACCUCGAUGUUGGAUCAGGACAUCCUAAUGGUGCAGCCGCUAUUAAGGG
rnacentral:rRNA from 1 species